AUUGAACGCUGGCGGCAGGCUUAACACAUGCAAGUCGAACGAGUGGCGGACGGGUGAGUAAUGUCUGGGAAACUGCCUGAUGGAGGGGGAUAACUACUGGAACCGGUAGCUAAUACCGCAUACCAUCGGAUGUGCCCAGAUGGGAUUAGCUAGUGGGUGGGGUAAAGGCUCACCUAGGCGACGAUCCCUAGCUGGUCUGAGAGGAUGACCAGCCACACUGGAACGGAGACACGGUCCGUACUCCUACGGGAGGCAGCAGUGGGGAAUAUUGCACAAUGGGCGCAAGCCUGAUACAGCCAUGCCGCGUGUAUGAAGAAGGCCUUCGGGUGGUAAAGUACUUUGAGCGAGGAGGCGUUACCCGCAGAAGAAGCACCGGCUAACUCCGUGCCAGCAGCCGCGGGAAUAC
rnacentral:rRNA from 1 species